UGUAUAAUCUUAUAAGCUUGGUUUGUUUCAAUGUUGGUUUGCCUCGUUCAGAAGCCAUCUUUCUAAGUAAACAUGAAGCUGGCCACAAAUGUUGCAGCACUCCACACAUCUCACAGAGCGAACUUAACAAACAGACAGACAGACAGACAGACCCAGCUCUCACACACAGCGAUCGAGAGCGAGAGCGAGCAUGAGAGACGAAGUUUGUAGUUUUGAGUCCAAGACAAGCUGAAGCAGAGCAUCACUGCACACAUGUAGCAGAAGCAACACUGAGGCUGGCAGCUGAGUCGCAGUAUCAGAGCUUCCUCUGCUUGUUUUUUGAGCUCUCAAGUUUGGGGACACUUUGUUGUUGUUGAUGUUGUUCCAGCAACCAUGCUUGUUGAGCUGAAGAAUGGAGAGACUUAUAAUGGUCAUUUAGUGAACUGUGAUACAUGGAUGAAUAUUCACCUUCGUGAAAAAAUUUGCACUUCAGAGGUGGAAUUCCUUCUGCUCUCGCUAGGAUGGCAACUGCUUUUGGAGAAUGCCUGAGUGCCAUAUUCGAGGAAAUACCAUCAAAUAUUUGCGGGUUCCUGAUGAGGUCAUCGACAAGGUUCAGGAAUAGACAGUGAAACGUCCAGGUAUGACCUUUUUUUUUAACCAGAUUUUUGCGAUUCCUGUGUCACUAGUUCAUAUGAGCUGUUCUCAACGGGCUGGAAAAGGUGCACUGUAUAAGAUACGCAAUAUCUCUUUAUAUCAGAUCCACUUGAACACUCAGAUUCGACUGAUUCUAUGGAAGACUUGGUGAUCUUUUGGUGUAAAACCAACACAAACUAGAUUGCUCGCUACAUUCUCAGUGAAUGCCAAGACCCUCAUGCUCAGGAUUAUGGUCAUCUGUUUGAAAUUGUCCUAUGAUGUUCCUGCCAGACCAUAAACCCACCAUCGACUUCCAAUUCGGGCAUUUUUAAAGAGCUCUUUUUUGUCUGUAUCCAGUUGGUGCUGCCGGGGGGCGAAGCCAGUGAACACCACAUCAGUCCAGUACUUCUCAAUGUAAAUUUGACAUUUUGUGAGAUAGAAAGCUUGAAGAAACGGGGUUUCUGUUUCUGAUCACGUUUAUCCUAUUCGUCACAGAAAAGCCUCAGUUGUAAGUUUGGUAUUGCACCUUCACGCUUUUACAAGCAGAUCCUUCCAGCAGUUUUUCAACAGGAGAGGAGCUGUUGGGUAUACAUCAAAAUGUGAAUUUUUUUCUCCAAUAGCUGACUUGGGUUCUUUUCACUCCACCAGUGACGAAAUGUAGAGCUUGAUUUCUUCAAGUGUAGCAAAAUGAUAAUUGCCAUUGCAGCAAGAUAUGGUUAUUCACGAGGUUUCAAGUAAAUGCAUGAAUAGGACCCCCGUCAAGCUUUUGUAUCUAUUGACACCAAUGCACAUUCCAAAUGGCAUGAGCUCAAUCUUCACUGUC